rnacentral:rRNA from 1 species
CAGUAGCCGCGGUAAUACGAAGGGGGCUAGCGUUGCUCGGAAUCACUGGGCGUAAAGGGUGCGUAGGCGGGUCUUUAAGUCAGGGGUGAAAUCCUGGAGCUCAACUCCAGAACUGCCUUUGAUACUGAAGAACUUGAGUUCUGGAGAGGUGAGUGGAACUGCGAGUGUAGAGGUGAAAUUCGUAGAUAUUCGCAAGAACACCAGUGGCGAAGGCGGCUCACUGGCCCGAUACUGACGCUGAGGCACGAAAGCGUGGGGAGCAAACAGGAUUAGAUACCCCAGUAGUCCCUGUCUCUUAUAC